GAUGAACGCUGGCGGCGUGCCUAAUACAUGCAAGUCGAGCGAACAGACGAGGAGCUUGCUCCUCUGACGUUAGCGGCGGACGGGUGAGUAACACGUGGAUAACCUACCUAUAAGACUGGGAUAACUUCGGGAAACCGGAGCUAAUACCGGAUAAUAUAUUGAACCGCAUGGUUCAAUAGUGAAAGACGGUUUUGCUGUCACUUAUAGAUGGAUCCGCGCCGCAUUAGCUAGUUGGUAAGGUAACGGCUUACCAAGGCAACGAUGCGUAGCCGACCUGAGAGGGUGAUAGGCCACACUGGAACUGAGACACGGUCCAGACUACUACGAGAGGCAGCAGUAGGGAAUCUUCCGCAAUGGGCGAAAGCUUGACGGAGCAACGCCACGUGAGUGAUGAAGGUCUUCGGAUCGUAAAACUCUGUUAUUAGGGAAGAACAAAUGUGUAAGUAACUAUGCACGUCUUGACGGUACCUAAUCAGAAAGCCACGGCUAACUACGUG
rnacentral:rRNA from 1 species